rnacentral:lncRNA from 10 species
CUUCCAGCCAAACCGCUCUGUGCUCCUCGGAGCCAGCCUUCUUCUGAGCAAGGCCCUUAACACCCCUUCUUGUUGAGCUGCCUCUGCUCUCCCUGGAUCCUCUUGGCUUAGCACCUCUCCAGCCCCUCCCAACUGGACCUCUCCUGGGACAGCAUGUGCUCUGCAUGGAAUAACAAGGUUAAAUGGACAAGGCUGAAUGGCCCUGUGAUGGGGAGUGCCUUUAAGCCACAUGACGGAAAUGAAACAGGAGCCAUAAUGACCAUGACUGGAGGAGAAUCAGAUUCUGGCCUGGCCUGGUUCUGUGAGAUACCUUAAAUCAUACUUUCUGUAGCAUCCCUUAAAGUUUAGAGAAAAGCUGAAUCACUCAGCCCAGAGGAAGCCUGAGGAGGCAUAAAGAAGUCUUGGAAAUCCCCUGAAAAAAAGAAUCAGCUGUAGGCUAACCCAAGAAGAAUAAAGCAUCGGCUUCCCUGACAUGCUGCUCCCCCCAAAACAGAGUGCCAAUAUGAUUCCAAGGUUCUUAGCACACUGUAUAUUACCUCACUCCUCCUACAGUGGUCUGGAACUGAACUUGCAAUUUCUCCAAGAUAUGUCGGUAUCUCUCUCCAUGCUGUGCUGCGUGGGCUUUGGGAGCGGUGAUGUGGACCAUUUGAAAUUGUCCUUGCUACCUCUUUAAUGCAUAUUUUUAUAUUUCUAUGCUCCACCCAAGUGCUGUAGUCUCUCAACUGCCUUCUUUUUGUUCUUCAGCUUUUAUGAAGCUAUUUUCAAGUGUGAGUAGUUGUCCAAAUUCAUGUUUCUUGAGGGAACAAGUGACUUGUUUGUAAGUUGACUUGUAUAUCUUUUUAUAGCUGAGAUUUUAUCCUGUGAUCUUACUAACUCAGGAAUUUUUUGGAGAUUCUUUGCAGUUUUCUAAGUAGAAUAACCAUAUUAUAUUUAUUAUUAUUUUCCUUCUUACUUUGGUUUUAAUUUGCUCUUUUUUUACAUGUUUUCUGAGUUAGAAACUUAGGUUAUUGAUUUGAUACCCUUAUUCCUUUAUAACAUAUGCAUUUGAUUGUGUAAGUUUUUCUCUAAGCACUGCUUUAGUGCAUCCCACAAAUUUUGAUCUGUUGUAUAUUUUUUAUUUACUUUAAUAUAUCUUCUAAUUUUCUUUUGACUUUAUCUUUGACCAAUGAAAUAUUCAGAAAUGUGUAAUUUCUAAAUAUUUGGGAGAUUUUCUAAAUAUUUCUCUGUUACUGCUUUCUAGUUCAACUCCACUAUGGUUAGAGAACACACUUUGAAUGUUUUAAAUCUGUUAAGAUUUGUUUUAUGACUUAAGACACAGUUGGUAUUUGUGAAUGUUUCAUGUGCACUUGAAAACAAUGUUUAUUCUGCUUUCAUUGGGUCAGGUGGUCUAAAAAUGGCAUUUAAGUUAAUUUGGUUGAUAGUGAUUUUCAGGUAUUAUAUAUCCUUCCUGAUUCCUGCCUAGUUGUUCUAAUGAUUACUGACAGAAGACUGUUGAAAUCUCCAAUUACACUAUUAUUUUUGUAUUUCUACCUUUACCUCUAUAAUUUUUGCUUUAGUAUUGUCACAAUAUUUUGUUGGGUGCAUACCAAUUUAGUAUAGCUAUGUAUUUUUGGUAGAUUGGCACUUUUAACCAUUAUACAAUGUCCCUCUUGGUCCUUGGUAACUUUCCUUCAUUGGAAUUCUACUUUUUUUGAUAUUAAUAUGACAAUUCUAGCAUUCUUUUGGUUAGUAUUUGCAUGGUAUGUCCUUUUCUAUUAUUUAGCUUUUAGCCAAGCUGAGUGUUUUUAUUUAAAAUGGGUUUCCUGCGACUAAAAAUCAUUCUAAUCUUAUUAGAUUAUCUAAUAACCUAAUUAUCUCUCUAUUGGCUGAACUUAGUCAUGGGAUAGAACCUACUUUCAGGGAAGGUUGCAUAAUACAGUCCUUUAUCUGGCCAUAUUGCCUGCACACUUAAAUGUAACCAUGCACCUGUAUAUACACACAUUCACAUAUAUCUGUGUUUUGUUUCUAAAGAAAAGGUGAGAGUGGGUGUUUGUAUAAGCAUCUAGCUAUUUCUGCUUUCAUAUGCUUUUGGUAUUUGUAAACUGUCUUUACCUGUAAAAUAAGGACAUUUCUAACCAUUAUUUCACUUCUAGAAUAAUUAAUUUAUCUGAUCAUUUUAUAUAACAUUUUAAGUGUCUUGUUAAUUUUUUUGUUGAAGUUAUUCAAUAUGUAUUGAAUAUAAAAACACAUCAUUCCUAGUAAAUUAUAGGGAGAUAAUUUUGUCUUUGUUUAAAAAAAUAAGCUUGCUUUCUCAAGGGGGGCUUAAUAUUUCAAAUUUCAUAGCAGCCAUUUAUUGUCAGCAACUUAAAGACUGUUUCUGUUUUAAGAAUACAUUUUUCUUCGAAAUAAAGUCAGAAAUUGGAGCAUCAGCCAUCUUACAUAUCUCCCCAUGCAGUAUAAAUUAAUUUCCAGACUUUCGGGGACAAACUUUCAUCCUAGAAAACCGGAGUGUCAGCAGUGAGCUAGGGAGAGCAGUGGGCUGUUACAUGACACCACUGUUCAAAGUGUCAGGUCACAUGUAGCACUUUAUGAGUUCCCCCUUUCCUGACUGAAACAAACUAUUUUAAUACAUUUCUAAAAAACCAAAAAAUACAAAAUACUCUUUUAAUACAACAUGCAUAUAUGUUUACUAUGACUAAAUAUAUUAUGCCUCUUCCUGUCAAACAGCAUCCAAUGUGGUGAAAUGAAAAACAAUAAAUCUGGGCUGGGUGUGGUGACUCAUGCCUGUAAUCCCAGCACUUUGGGAGGCUGAGGCGGGUGGAUCACCUGAGGUUGGGAGUUUGAGACCAGCCUGACCAAUGGGGAGAAACCCCGUCUCUACUAAAAAUACAAAAUUAGCUGGGCGUGGUGGCGCAUGCCUGUAAUCCCAGCUACUCGGGAGGUUGAGGCAGGAGAACUGCCUGAACCCGGGAGGUGGAGGUUGCAGGGAGCCAAGAUGGCACCAUUGCACUCCAGCCUGGGCAACAAGAGUGAAACCCCGUCUCAAAAAAAUAAAAACAAAAAUAAAAACAAAAACAGUAAAUAUUAUAUAUCAGCAUUUGUGAUAUUUAUUCCUUCUGUUUAGUUAUUUGCCUCUAGAUUGAAGCAUUCAAAACAGAAAAUUAUAUUCAGAGUAAAAACUCUUAGCUGGAUAAUGGAACCUAUCAUUUUAAGUUUUUCCUAUAUUUCCUAAAAAUACCUAUAUUAGGUAUAUUUUUUCCAAUAUUACUCCUUAUCUUUACCUUAGUUCCCUUUCAUUUUUGAUUGUCAUUGUGCUCUCAGCUACACCUGAAAAUUUCUCUGAUUUUUCCCAAGUUGGGAAAUUAAUCCACUUUAAAUUCCAUUAAAGUUUGAAACUCUUUUUCCAUUGUCUUGUGGUUUUAUUUGUACAUUUUAAUUUACUGUAAUUUUAAAAUGUCUCUUUCUAGUUUUGACAAAUGUCAUACUUUUCC